UUUCCGUAGGUGAACCUGCGGAUGGAUCAUUCAUAAUAAAGUGUUUUAUGGCACUUUUUAAAAAUCCAUAUCCACCUUGUGUGCAAUGUUAGAUCUCGUCAAUCUUGGCGAGAUUUUUAUACAUCAACUCAUUCUUUAACUAAUUUGUCUGAAAAAUAUUAUGAAUACUUAAUUCAAAAUACAACUUUCAACAACGGAUCUCUUGGCUCUC
rnacentral:misc_RNA from 1 species